rnacentral:rRNA from 1 species
AGAGUUUGAUCCUGGCUCAGGAUGAACGCUGGCGGCGUGCCUAACACAUGCAAGUCGAACGGUCCAGCUUGCUGGGCAGUGGCGGACGGGUGCGUAACACGUAGGUGACCUGCCCCAGAGUGGGGAAUAAUUCCGCGAAAGCGGGACUAAUACCGCAUAGGCUCGGCAGUUCAGUCUGUCGAGUAAAGCCUUCGGGUGCUCUGGGAUGGGCCUGCGGCGGAUUAGCUAGUUGGUGGGGUAAUGGCCUACCAAGGCGAUGAUCCGUAGGGGGCGUGAGAGCGUGACCCCCCACAUUGGCACUGAGACACGGGCCAAACUCCUACGGGAGGCAGCAGUGAGGAAUAUUGCACAAUGGGCGAAAGCCUGAUGCAGCAACGCCGCGUGAGGGACGAAGGCCUUCGGGUCGUAAACCUCUUUUCUGAGGGAAGAGACAGGACGGUACCUCGGGAAUAAGUCUCGGCUAACUACGUGCCAGCAGCCGCGGUAAAACGUAGGAGGCGAGCGUUAUCCGGAUUUACUGGGCGUAAAGCGCACGCAGGCGGCUUCGUGAGUCGGAUGUGAAAGCUCCCAGCUUAACUGGGAGAGGCCAUUCGAUACUGCGGGGCUUGAGGUUGGGAGAGGGGUGCGGAAUUCCCGGUGUAGUGGUGGAAUGCGUAGAUAUCGGGAGGAACACCUGUGGCGAAAGCGGCACCCUGGCCCACACCUGACGCUGAGGUGCGAAAGCGUGGGUAGCAAACAGGAUUAGAUACCCUGGUAGUCCACGCCGUAAACGAUGUCAACUAGGUGUUGGUGGUGUUACACUAUCAGUGCCGAAGCAAACGCGUUAAGUUGACCGCCUGGGGACUACGGCCGCAAGGCUAAAACUCAAAGGAAUUGAUGG